rnacentral:rRNA from 1 species
AUGCAUUCUAGUUCUAGAAGAAAGUAAGAUUCUGGUGCCUUCAAGCGUAAGAAGAAACAGAAAUUAGAAGAAGAUGCUCAAAUUCAAAGGGGUGCUCUUGAUAAAUAUGUUGUGAUAUACCCCCAAACUAAUUCUGAAAAUCAUACUCUAGAUGGUAAUAUUGAUGAUGGUCACGAUGAUAAUGCAGUAGCAGUUGAGGUUGUCACUGUAGAAAUUCAUGAAGGUGAUCAUGGUCUUGCUGAUAAUGCGCAAGAGGUUGAGGUUGUCACUACAGAAAUUGAUGAAGGUAAUGUUGUCAAUAUUUUAGAUGAAGAUCAUGAUCCUAAUAUUUCGGAUGACAUGAAUAAUUCCGUUCAGCCUGAUAUAUUUGAUCCUAGCAAUUGGGAUGGACUUGAUCCGAAAAAGAUUGAUAUCUUGCUGCAAAAUGGUCCUAAAAGAAAAGAUAUUGAGUAUGGUCCUUAUGACAAGUUAUCUAGAAGGUUUUUUGCAUUAUCAUUUAGCAGAAUUCUCUCAAAUGGAGAAAAGUUUGACAGAGAGUGGCUUAUACAAAAGAAUCAAACAAUUGAUAAAUUUGCUCAGCGAGAACUUGAAAAGGAAAAGGAGCAUUGGAGAAAAGUUUUGCUCGAGAUUUUGUUGAUUGUAAAAUUUCUUGCAGAACAUAAUAUAGCAUUUCGUGGCAGCAAUAGCAAGUUGUACCAACAGAGCAAUGGGAAUUUCCUAGGACUUAUUGAAAUGUUGGCUGAAUUUGACCCAGUUAUCAAAGAGCAUGUUGACCGCAUCACCAAUGAAAAAAUUCAUGAUCACUAACUUGGCCCUUCUAUACAGAAUGAGUUAAUAAAUAUGCUCGCUACUGCCAUCAGGUCAAGAAUCAUUGAAAAGCGAUGGCAAAUUCUCAAAGAUAACUUAAAGAAGUUGACUGUCAAGUCAUUGUCAUCUACUCGUUGGGAGAGUCAUGUUGAGAGUGUUAAGGUUAUACGGAUUCAAAUGCCAGAAAUAAGGGAGGCUUUACUACAAGUGGCUGAAAUUGAUAAGGAUCCAUUGACAAGUAGUGAAUCACAAUCAUUGGCGGAAAAUGAACUUGGUGGUUUUGAAUUUUUAGUGUCAAUAAUUAUCUGGUAUGAUAUAUUAUCCGCUGUUAAUUUGGUCAGCAAACAGCUACAAUCAAAGGACAUGCUUAUUGAUAUUGCAAUUGAGUCUAUACAGGGUCUGCUUUCCUUUUUGAAGAAGUAUAGAGAAACUGGCUUUUCAAAAGCAUUGGAAGAUGCAAAAGAAAUUGCACUUGAGAUGGAUAUUCAUCCAGAGUUCCGCACCAAGCGGAAAAUCAAAAGAAGAAGACAAUUCGAUGAGGGUGCAGAUGAUGCAUCUAUUGCUUCACAAUCUACAGAGGAGUCAUUUAGGGUCAAUUAUUUUCUGCAAGUGGUCGAUCAAGCUAUAGUUUCACUUACCAGGAGGUUUGAGCAAUAUCAGGGGUAUGAAAAAACUUUUGGUUUCUUAUUUAAUUCAGAUAGGCUGCGGUCUAUCAAUGAUAAGAGUUUGCUGGCUGCUUGUGAUAUUCUUGAGAUUCUGAUGAAGCGCCCCUUCUAUCCUAAUGCUAUUAUUGCAUACAGGAUUUUGUUAACCAUUCCUGUAACUGUUGCAACUGCGGAAAGGAGCUUCUCUAAACUCAAGUUGUUGAAAUCAUAAUUGCGUUCAACUAUGGCACAAGAAAGACUCAAUGGUUUGGCGACAAUAGCACUUGAAAAUGAUGUCUUGGAGAAGAUUAAUUAUGAAGAUGUAAUUGAAGAUUUCAUUUCAAGGAACACAAGAUGGAUGACACUUUUCAAUAGAGAAUAA